GACAUCCAGAGAACUUAGCAGAGAUUGCUUUGGUGCCUUCGGGAACUCUGAGACAGGUGCUGCAUGGCUGUCGUCAGCUCGUGUUGUGAAAUGUUGGGUUAAGUCCCGCAACGAGCGCAACCCUUAUCCUUUGUUGCCAGCGGUUCGGCCGGGAACUCAAAGGAGACUGCCGGUGAUAAACCGGAGGAAGGUGGGGAUGACGUCAAGUCAUCAUGGCCCUUACGGCCAGGGCUACACACGUGCUACAAUGGCGCAUACAAAGAGAAGCGACCUCGCGAGAGCAAGCGGACCUCAUAAAGUGCGUCGUAGUCCGGAUUGGAGUCUGCAACUCGACUCCAUGAAGUCGGAAUCGCUAGUAAUCGUAGAUCAGAAUGCUACGGUGAAUACGUUCCCGGGCCUUGUACACACCGCCCGUCACACCAUGGGAGUGGGUUGCAAAAGAAGUAGGUAGCUUAACCUUCGGGAGGGCGCUUACCACUUUGUGAUUCAUGACUGGGGUGAAGUCGUAACAAGGUAGGCGUAGCGAG
rnacentral:rRNA from 1 species